rnacentral:rRNA from 1 species
AUGCAGUCGCCAUGCAUGAGGUCAGCACGUCUGCACCUAGAUGCUAGUAUCUUUAGCAGCCUGAGUUUUCACUUGUAUGUCUAUCCCUGCCUCCUGUACUUCUACAAAUUUUGUCUCGGUGGAAGAACAGGUAGGCAUAUUUCUUUAUGCCGUUUCGAACAAUGCAACCAAUUGUACACUCCAAGGGCAAUUUCAGCAUAG